rnacentral:misc_RNA from 1 species
CUCAGGUCAGAAAGCAGGAAC